GCAUCACUUUGUCCGGACUCUAAUUCAAAUUGUAUUCAUCCGAUCUUCACCAAACUUGGUCAGCAGUUGCAUCUAGUUGAUAUCUAGGCCAAGUUCGAAUAUGGGUCAUGCCGGGUCAAAAACUAGGUCAUAGGGUCAAUUAGUGCAUUUUCAAUGGCGCCACUUUGUCCGGACUCUAAUUCAAAUUGUAUUCAUCCGAUCUUCACCAAACUUGGUCAGAAGUUGUAUCUAGACAAUAUCUAGGUCAAGUUCGAAUAUGGGUCAUGCCGGGUCAAAAACUAGGUCACAGGGUCACUUAGUGUAUUUCAAGCAUUUAGCAUGGUGUCCGCUCUCUAAUUGAAGUAGUUUUCAUCCGAUCUUCACCAAACUUGGUCAGAAGUUGUAUCUAGACAAUGUUUAGGUCAAGUUCAAAUAUGGGUCAUGCCGGGUCAAAAACUAGGUCACAGGGUCACUUAAACCAUUUCAAGCAUUUAGCAUGGUGUCCGCUCUCUAAUUGAAGUAGUUAUCAUCCGAUCUUCACCAAAUUUGGUCAGAAGUUGUGUCUAGACAAUAUCUACAUGUAGGUCAAG